GACGAACGCUGGCGGCGUGCUUAACACAUGCAAGUCGAACGAUGAAGAAAAGAAUUGAAGCUUCGGCAGAAAUUCAUUUCGGAUUAGUGGCAGACGGGUGAGUAACGCGUGAGCAACCUACCUCUUACAAAGGGAUAGCCUCGGGAAACCGGGAUUAAUACCAUAUAACAUUGCGACGAAGCAUUUCGAUGCAAUCAAAGCUACGGCGGUAAGAGAUGGGCUCGCGUCCCAUUAACCAGAUGGUGAGGUAACGGCUCACCAUAGUAACGAUGGGUAACCGGCCUGAGAGGGUGAACGGUCACACUGGAACUGAGACACGGUCCAGACUCCUACGGGAGGCAGCAGUGGGGAAUAUUGCACAAUGGAGGGAACUCUGAUGCAGCGACGCCGCGUGAGUGAUGAAGGAAUUCGUUUCGUAAAGCUCUGUUCUAUGGGAAGAAAAGGACUGUACCAUAGGAGAAAGCUCCGGCUAAAUACGUG
rnacentral:rRNA from 1 species